UUACUUACCUGGACGGGAUCUAUUGGUGAUCAAUGAGGCCCAUGGUCUAGGUUGGUGACUUCCAUUGCACUCAGGAGGGGUGCCUGCCUAAGGACUACUCAAGUAGUAGAGCUUACGUCAUAAUUUGUGGUAGCGGGGGCCUGCAUUCUUGCGGCCCUUGC